CCCAAGUGGAGUUCCUGAUUCAUAGGCUGGCAGUAGAGCCAUGGUGCUUCUCCUCUAAAGGGAAUUCCAGUGUGUUAUUUUUAAUGUUUUCAACCAGAAUCUAUCAAACUGAGCUGUAUUGGUCUGUAUUUUACAUGAACUUUGUGAAUUUUUCUCUCUGUUUUUAUUCUUCCUGCUAGAGGGAAGACAAGGGAGACACUCCCAGGAAGAAAAAGGAAUAAGACAAAAUAAUUUCAGCUUUCAGCAAGCACAGGCUCCAAUAAACUGAAAGCAUCAGAAGAUUCAUUCCAAACUGAGAGGAAAAAUACACUGCUGCUACCACUGCCGGCCAUGACUGAUGCACAACGUGCACCAACUUUGACCCAAAUGAGACAAUGACCCGAAAGAGACCCAGAACUGAGACGGACGACCUAGACCUGCCUGACGUGGAUAACUCUGCCAGAAACGAGGAUCCUUUGUUUGCCAGCACAGGAAAGUGGAGGAAAACCACAAGGAGGAAUCCCAGGGCAUCAACAUCGGUAUGCAGGAGAGCUGGUGGGAGUAUUCCUGCAACCCUCACAUGCUGUGUGAUUCACUUCAGAAACAUCCUCUCAGAUGAGUGACCAUCUCUGACUGUAGGCAGCUGCAGAUAAAAGAAGCGUAUUUAUAAAAAGGAGCAGGUUUAUAAAAAGAAAUUGUGGUUUACUUAAAAAUAACUUGUGGGUGUGACUGCAACCUGGGCCUAAAGUUUUAUAUCAUGCAAACAAAAUUGUUGCUUUUAUGGGUUAAAAAAUUAGAUUUUACUGGCUCUUUAUACAAAUUUGGCUGUUUACUGAUGGCUCAGGCUAUAGGGUCUAGGAUGUUUGGGCAGGGGAGCAAGGGCUGAGUGUCAGGCUGCACACUAUUAUGAGUGUUAGGCCACACUGUGCACAGUGUAUUAGCUGCCUUCUAAUUACUUGCUUUUUCCCAAUAAUUUUCCUGCUUCCAGCACUCACUGUGCUCCCAGCCAUUGAGCAAGGAAACCUGCUGUUGGAUUUCUCCGUGCUUGGGAAAAGUUUAUUGGUACAAAGCACUGUGAGCUGCCAGGGAUCAGCAGGGGAUGAGAAGAAUCCUCUUCCAGUGGUUUCUCUGCCACAUGAAGACAAGACAAGAAGACCUGAAGUUAGAACAAGUUUUCUGCUGAACAAAGCCAAGUGAUAUGACCAAGAGCUGGCCUGACCUCAUACACGGAAUAAGACAGAAUUUACAGUGACCCAGACUGGAACCAAGUGCCUUGAUUGGUCUCCAGGAUGUAAAUAGUUUCAAGUUCUCCGUUCCAUUGAAAUGUUACAAAGAGUUUUGUUUUGGUUUUAUUUAUUGUUCAAUGCAAAGCACCUGCAUUGUUUUGUUUUAAAUACAGUUGUAAGUUCUUUUGGUUACUUUUGGAAAGCGUGUGGUUUUUGAAGGUAAUGCUUUUCUAGCUUGCAAAAGAAGGGAUGAGGUGUGAUACCUGCCUAUGAAAUGACCUAGUGCAAUGAAUUGUUGGAAUGGGCCCAUGUCAUGAUGCUCUAUAAAUGUCUCUAUUAUGAAUAACUAAC
ensembl:lncRNA